GAUUAAAUUUGGAUUGGCUGAUGGAUUGAAUUGGUAAAAUGUUGGUUGUUGGCUGUUUAAUUGUCAUAUUUUUGGAUAAUUGUUUAAUUCGGUUGGGCAGCCAAGUGAGGGGGAGUUUUUCAAAAUUUUUAUGAUUCACUAAGUAAGGGGGAGUUCUUGUCUAUUGAGAAAGGGGGAGCUUUUAUUCCAAUCAUCAAAUCUCAUUUCAAACCUUUGUUUUGUCAUCAUCAAAAAGGGGGAGAAUGUUAUUCUUGGUUUUGAUGAUCACAAAGUACUUUGAAAUGUUUAUCUAACUUUCUUCAAAUAUAAGUGUUUUUGCCUAUCAAAGAAUCAGGUACGAAUAUGUCAUGAAAUGCAAAUCAACCAAAAGAAGAAGCAAAAACAGGACACUCAUGUCGGACGUCCAAAAGGAAUCUGUCGGACGUCCGAAAGGAUAAAGAACAUCAAGAA
rnacentral:lncRNA from 1 species